rnacentral:tRNA from 1 species
GGGGAUGUAGCUCAGUUGGUAGAGUGCUUACCUAANAUGCAAAAGGCCCUGUGUUUCAUUCCCA